UGCCAGCAGCCGCGGUAAUACGGAGGGUGCGAGCGUUAAUCGGAAUUACUGGGCGUAAAGGGUGUGUAGGCGGUUGGCUCAGUCGGAUGUGAAAGCCCCGGGCUUAACCUGGGAACUGCAUUCGAUACUGGUCGACUAGAGUACGGUAGAGGGUAGUGGAAUUUCUGGUGUAGCAGUGAAAUGCGUAGAUAUCAGAAGGAACACCGGUGGCGAAGGCGGCUACCUGGACCGAUACUGACGCUGAGGCACGAAAGCGUGGGGAGCAAACGGGAUUAGAUA
rnacentral:rRNA from 1 species